GGGUGUAUCCCACAAAGUGUGUCUGUUCAGUUAUGCCCCACUGGAUAUGUCUCUGAGGAAGAGGAAAUUGGAGGAGUGAGGGGCCUGGCACGGUAUAAACACUCACACCAUGUUCUACACGCGAUGGAGUGGGAAACAAGCUGGCACCAAGAAUAACGGACUCUCGCAUGGCGGGCAUGGAAACUGAUAUCCUCCUACGAAGUCUCCGAAGCUCAGAUCGCUUAUUCCUAGGGACUCCAUUCAUUUCCAUCUCCAAAGCUCCCACCCGCCACACGCCCCAAGGACUCUGUGAAAUGAUCCUCUGAAUGAUCUCCUGAGAGAUG